AGUGACCCUAUCAUUGACAGCAAGGGAAUGUAUAAAUUCGUGGUUAAGGUAGUAUGGCGUUACGAGUCACGCCCCUUUGCUCCCUGCGUCACAUUUAGUCGCCAUCCAGAACGUCACUUUGACGGAAAUCCCGUGGCUGGUGUUUGGCUGAGGUUGCCCCUCUGCAGUCAGCGGUUUGAGUGAGACUGCUCCAGCGCAGUGAGUGCGGGUGUUUACCUGAGAUUACGGACGCGUUAUGUCCCUCUACUGAGCCCAUUGUUUCCCCGAUAGACUGCGAGCUCUCAGCUUCCCGGCACAUUGUUGUCUGUUUGACUGAUGGGAAUUUAGAUCUUAUUCAUACGACAGGUCCGUGACGUCGCGGUCUACUAUUAGCUUCGCUGUUGUUGAGCUACGUGGGAACGAUCAUCUGGAGACGCUGUUGCUUUGUUUUGGAGCUGAGUGCCUAAAGCAGUGGUGGAUUUCUGGUGUUGGUGCUUCUUUCACGAGUGCUGGUUGAAGUGGUUGUGUUGUGUGAGUGUGUGUAUGCGUGUGUCACAGGUAUAAGUGAAGGGUGUUUUGCUGUGGAGGCCGAUUGCGCCCUUAUGCCCUGCUGUCGAGCCUCAGUUCCUGUACCGGAACUUUUGGAUGUCCUUGAUGACCCAGGUCGCCCAUUAUUGUAUUUGUGAAGUGUUAUCUAUGUGAUUGUUGCCCUCAGUGAUUUAGCAGCUUUCCCUUUUUUCUAUUUUUGUAAUAAUUCCCUUUUAUUGUAAUAAACAUGAUCUUUUGUA